rnacentral:rRNA from 1 species
AGUGUAGGCGGUCUGCUAAGUCGGGUGUGAAAGCCCUGGGCUCAACCCAGGAAGUGCACUCGAAACUGGCAGGCUAGAGUACUGGAGAGGUUGGUGGAAUUCUCGGUGUAGAGGUGAAAUUCGUAGAUAUCGAGAGGAACACCGGUGGCGAAGGCGGCCAACUGGACAGAUACUGACGCUGAGACUCGAAAGCAUGGGGAGCAAACA